rnacentral:rRNA from 1 species
AGCGGCGGACGGGUGAGUAAUGCCUGGGAAAUUGCCCUGAUGUGGGGGAUAACCAUUGGGAACGAUGGCUAAUACCGCAUAAUAGCUUCGGCUCAAAGAGGGGGACCUUCGGGCCUCUCGCGUCAGGAUAUGCCCAGGUGGGAUUAGCUAGUUGGUGAGGUAAUGGCUCACCAAGGCGACGAUCCCUAGCUGGUCUGAGAGGAUGAUCAGCCACACUGGAACUGAGACACGGUCCAGACUCCUACGGGAGGCAGCAGUGGGGAAUAUUGCACAAUGGGCGCAAGCCUGAUGCAGCCAUGCCGCGUGUGUGAAGAAGGCCUUCGGGUUGUAAAGCACUUUCAGUCGUGAGGAAGGUGGUGUAGUUAAUAGCUGCACCAUUUGACGUUAGCGACAGAAGAAGCACCGGCUAACUCCGUGCCAGCAGCCGCGGUAAUACGGAGGGUGCGAGCGUUAAUCGGAAUUACUGGGCGUAAAGCGCAUGCAGGUGGUUAGUUAAGUCAGAUGUGAAAGCCCGGGGCUCAACCUCGGAACUGCAUUUGAAACUGGCUGACUAGAGUACUGUAGGGGGGGGUAGAAUUUCAGGUGUAGCGGUGAAAUGCGUAGAGAUCUGAAGGAAUACCGGUGGCGAAGGCGGCCCCCUGGACAGAUACUGACACUCAGAUGCGAAAGCGUGGGGAGCAAACAGGAUUAGAUACCCUGGUAGUCCACGCCGUAAACGAUGUCUACUUGGAGGUUGUGGCCUUGAGCCGUGGCUUUCGGAGCUAACGCGUUAAGUAGACCGCCUGGGGAGUACGGUCGCAAGAUUAAAACUCAAAUGAAUUGACGGGGGCCCGCACAAGCGGUGGAGCAUGUGGUUUAAUUCGAUGCAACGCGAAGAACCUUACCUACUCUUGACAUCCAGAGAACUUAGCAGAGAUGCUUUGGUGCCUUCGGGAACUCUGAGACAGGUGCUGCAUGGCUGUCGUCAGCUCGUGUUGUGAAAUGUUGGGUUAAGUCCCGCAACGAGCGCAACCCUUAUCCUUGUUUGCCAGCACUUCGGGUGGGAACUCCAGGGAGACUGCCGGUGAUAAACCGGAGGAAGGUGGGGACGACGUCAAGUCAUCAUGGCCCUUACGAGUAGGGCUACACACGUGCUACAAUGGCGCAUACAGAGGGCGGCCAACUUGCGAAAGUGAGCGAAUCCCAAAAAGUGCGUCGUAGUCCGGAUUGGAGUCUGCAACUCGACUCCAUGAAGUCGGAAUCGCUAGUAAUCGUGGAUCAGAAUGCCACGGUGAAUACGUUCCCGGGCCUUGUACACACCGCCCGUCA